rnacentral:lncRNA from 1 species
CUUGCAUGCUUUUUUUAACCUCACACGCUUUUUCUGCUGCUACCUGCCACUUUAGCUUCUAAGUUCUCUUGAUUUUGCGUAUGAUUUGAGCCUUCCCUCUCUUCUAGGUCUCCUCUUUUUCUGUGUGUGUCUCUAUCUUUUUCAGUCUCUACCAACUGUAUGCCUCCCACUCUUUUUGUAAUUAGUCAAAACGAGCAUUUGUGAUGCAAACACUUCUCUAUAACUGAAAUGUAAAUAACCAAGGUGAAUGUAUUUUUCAGCCUGCAUUGCUCAGUGGAGGUUAAUCCUGUCCUUAAUUUGUUUGUACAUAUGUGAACUUCUAGAGAAGGAGAUGGAUCAUGGUGCAAUAGUGGCCAGCAAGGUGGCUGUGCUCAUCUGUGCAAUUCCUCUAAAAUCAUCAACAAAGCCCUGGAGCUCCUGAGAGGGAACUUUCUGCAGCCUGUCCUGCUGCCCUCUGCUAAGUGCCCUCAGUUGCUCAAAAAGAAAGCAGAAAUCUUCCUUUCCCUCCAGGUAACCAUUGGACCUGCCCAAGUCUUCUGAGGGGAGCGUAGCACCAAAUUGCAGACAAGUGUCUCAACUAAUUACUGGUUGUUGCUGUCUUAGUCGCCUGCUUCUUAGUGAGGCUACUGACCUGUGUCACUGAUGUCUUUGUGCUCUGUUACAUUCUACAAAAAGUACCAUUCUCCAGUGCAAACAGCACAGGUAGAGAACUGCAUAAGCAACUGGGAUUCACUUGAGCUGGGAACUCUUUGUAUUUCUUAUAUCCCGAAGAAGUUAGAAUAUAAAUACAAGUGGUGAUCUUGGCUUGCCUGAGUCAUAAAGGAGUGAAUAAGUCCUUAUUCUGAUAGGUGUAUUUCACUAGUGGAUUAAAUUGCCCUUCCAUUUUGGAGGAGGUAGAAUCUGGUGUGGCACAGCAGUUGUUUUUGUUUGUUUUUAAUAACUAGCUUUAAAGCAAUAACAGGCACGUAGUGUCAGGCUGAUGUAUUCUGGUUUGAUUUCAGGCAUUACACAAGGGAAUAGACUAUUUCCACAUCUCCCCCUAGAGCUCUUUAGCAACUACAGCAGCAAUAAUAAUAACAAUCUGGGUUAUUAAAAAAAAAAAAAAAGGAAGAAGAAAACAUCACAACGAUUCCCUUAAGGAGUAGCACAAAGCCAUAGGUCCGUAGUGAAGGUUCAUACGAUGGAACAUCUUUUCUCCCAGUGUAAGAACAGUGCCUGUAAAUAACAAUAUACAAGUUUUGCAUGAUUAUCAGUUCUGAUGCUCAGGAGAAAUAGGUUAUCUUUCAUUUUUCAUUUAUGGAAAAAUAUUAGGCUUGUGACCACAAAGGUCAUCUUCUCUACCCUUGCUAAUGUAGGAAAAUUAAUUUUCUGCUAAGCUUGUUAGAGUAAUUGUUGAGAGAACCUGUGGAAUAACAGUGUCAGACUAAUGCCUAAUGUGGCUAUCUGGAAAAAAGCAGUGAGUUAUGGUUGGGUCUGGGUAAGUAUAACCCCAACUGAUGGGCUUCAAGGCUUGAGAAGGAGGAGUGGGAAAUGUCGAUAGAGGGAACAGCUGAUGCCUUUUUAAUGGGAGAGGGUCAGCGGGCUGGCAGGAGAAUUGAUGAACUGACAGUGUAAUACGCUGUGUGUAGCACUGAGGCAGUGCCAUGUUCUGUGUUUUAAGAGCAUGGUGACUGUCCCCAUGUAAAGGCAGAAGCUCCCCUGUUUAAGUGACUCUUAGACUUGCCAUAUAAUAUAGAUUUAGUUAGCUCUUCCCUUCCUUUCUGCAUUUCUUUUUUUUUUUAACCUAAAAUGAUUUAAAAAAGAACCUUUAGGCUCUACUGUGCUGGAAAUCUCAAGAGGAUAUAUUUUGGAUUUGCUGGGUGGUUAUCAGGUGUCGUGUUUGUAAAGUGAGAGAUGAGGUUAAAAGACACAUUCAGUAGCUGUGCUGGGGGGAAGAAUUGCACAAAUCUUUUGUGCUCUCUCAGCAUAUGUUUGUAUGAACAUUACAUCAGAACUGAAACAGCAGAAGUGAAACUUCUCUCUUAUCAGAUUGGAGGAAGGUGGUAGCAUUACAGGAAUAAGAGUGUGUGACCUUUUUUUUCCAUUCAGAACCAGAUAUGGGGAUAAGGCUUGUACUGGAAAAUGUAAUCCUCUAAACAUGUAGGUGGGAAGAAGGGGAGAACACAGCAUUACAGUAAAUGAAGUCAGGUGCUGAGCCAUUGUUUUCUAGUUGUGGCAGACAUAACAAUGUCCUCUGAUUAAGUUUUAAGCUGUCAUCUACAUCUCUGUUGCCAUCUUAAACUUUUUUUUUGCAUCAGUAGUUAUUGUGAUGUAUUUCAUUAAUUGAAAUAUUUUUGUCUUGAUUUGCUUGAAAGGCAUUGGAUUGACUUUCUCUCCUCAAGAUUUUUGAGGCAAUGGUUACCUAAGUGUUAAAAGAAACUCUACUUUGCAGUGAAUACAUGAUGGGUAUAACUGCACUGUCGGCUGAGAGUUAUGCUAAUGGAAAGGACAUAAGAAACAAAUGUGAAGCAUGUAUGUUAGUGAGCAUGGUCAUUGGUUAGUUAGUGUGCUAACAUGCACAGUGGUAUAGUUCAACGCCCUUAGAAGGUCUCUCUCUGACUGUAUUUUCACUGCUAGACAUUUUGCCUUACAUGAAAAUGCUCCAGGAAAGCACAUUCUGCCUAAAACAGCCAGUGUAAUUUUUUCAGAUUUAGAGAAGAAAAGCCCUCUUUAUUCCUUUCUCAUUUUCACCUUCUCCUUGUUCUUCAAAACAAGGCAUUAAUCAAUGACAAUAGAAACUGCUACUCUUAGGGCUGUCAAUGUUUAUAGCUUUGGGUUUAAUAGCAAGGACAUAAAUACAUACUUUUCAUUACAGUUUUGCUGUUAUUUGCUCAUCAUCCACAGUACCUGAUAUUAUCAUAACUCUUUCGUUGAAGCUAUUAAAGUUAUGGUUUGUAGUUCAUACUGGCAUGAAGCAGACAGCCAUAAAAGUGUAUGAAAAAAGUGCACAGAUUUAGAUUCAACUAUUAGGCAGUAUCAGUCAUUUUCUCACUAUUCACAUAAAAGCAAAUCUAAUCUUAGUAUCUUGUAUCUUUAACCUUCUUCCUUUCUUGUCCUGGACACCUUUGUCCCUCGGUAAAAUCUCUUCAACUUAAGCUAAAGCCAUGUUUGCCAUUGUAGGUGCAGGAAUCUGGCUCUUUAUGGCUAAGUACUCCUCAGCAAAAAGUUUUAUUUCUAUCAAACGAAAGAAGCAGCUUGAUUAGGGCUUAAAGAAAAGAUGACUUGAAACUAUAGUUACUGUGGGCCUUGGUGGUGGCCACCAAAUUCCGGGCUGAUAGCAAGGCUCCUCUGGGGCACUUAUUUAUGAGGACAAUCUCCAACUCUCCAAGGGAAAAUCUUCAUGGGGAAGCUUUCCAUCUCUAAAUGAUCAGCUUUGCCUUGGAAAUUCCUUCAGUGGGUCGCUACCCGUGAACUUUUUGUCUGUGUUUGGAGAACUACGUGCUGUCAAUACUUUGGCUUGCUCACAAAUGAGUGGGUAGAAAGACAAUGAAGCAAUAAAACUUGCCUAUUAAUUAAAGAUGGCCA